GCGGACGUGGCGGAAUAGGUAGACGCACAGGACUUAAAAUCCUGAGAAGCGAAAGCUUCGUGAGGGUUCGACUCCCUCCGUCCGCACCA
rnacentral:tRNA from 1 species